GCCAGUGUCCGGUGUUCUGACAAAACGUCCUACCUAUUAAGCUGUCCUACUUGUUGUUACUGCGCAUGCGCACAAUUCAAAACGGCCAUAUUUCCGGUUUAAAUAGUACACGCCUAUUAUUUCAUCCUACCCUGAUCUUGUGCCGAUCUCGUUGCUUCGAAAAAAGGUAUGUAUUAAAAGUUUUACUUCUUUAUUACAGAUGAUAAUUGCUUACCUUAAGCUGCUCAAUCGAAGUCAUAUUCCAAGUGUUUAUUUGGUGCUUUUAAAAUUUAUUUUAGUCCUCCUGCAGUUACUGGACACCACUCGCCGUUGUUAUGUUGAAUAAACGCUCCGUUGUUAUGUUGAAGAAAGUACUUUUGCACCACAUACUUGUUAAUUGCGUGAUAACGUUGUGUAGUCGUUUUAUUUACUGUAUGGAUUCCGAAGCCAUGUUGAAAUUGUCCGAUUUUCUCCUUAGUUAUGGAGAACAAAUACGAGGAACUGCUCAUGUUUCUGUCUGUUGGGUCCUACCCAUCUGAAUACGAUAAGUCCCAGAGGCAAACCCUUAGGAGAUACGCCGCAAAAUUCAGGCUGAAGGGCGGAGUGCUCUUGUUUGGAAACAGGAGAGUGAUAAAAACAAAAGAAGAAGCCAUGGGACUAUUUCAAGUCCCAUCGGUGGACACACUGGUGUACUCAAGACUCGAACUGCAAUGUGUUCCAGAUUUUACUGGUAUGGAAUGUCGGUUGACAUUGUUAAUUGGGAAGUUGUCAUUUAUAUUGCAUGUGCAAAAUAUAAAGAGAGCAACCAAGAAUAUAAAUGCAAAAAAUGUAAGGAAAACACGUAACAACUUCAAAUAAAAACAGCUGUCUUUUCCCCUCCAUGUCUCUUUGUAUUCUUUGUCAACAUUAGAUGAUUGUGUGCUGGAGGCAUGUUUUGAUAGUGUGAUUUGGCCACCUGAACGUCCUACCUAAAUAAAUCCAAGCAGGAAGCAUGUUCUGAACGUCCUAGCGAAAUAAAUCCAAGUUUUUAAGUGUGAUUUGGCCAUCUGAACGUCCUACCUAUAGAUAUGUACGAUGGAGCCAUUAACCACGUAAGGUAGCAUAUUCUGAUAAGGUAGCACGGAUUGAUAGACAAGACCAUAAAUUUACGCUACGGUAGCGCUACAGUAGGACGUUUUGUCAGAACACCGGCAGCCUCGCCUCUGUCAGUGCGCCCCAGGGUGGCUGUGG
ensembl:lncRNA